CCUACGGGGGGCUGCAGUGGGGAAUCUUAGACAAUGGGCGCAAGCCUGAUCUAGCCAUGCCGCGUGAGCGAUGAAGGCCUUAGGGUUGUAAAGCUCUUUCAGUGGGGAAGAUAAUGACUGUACCCACAGAAGAAGCCCCGGCUAACUCCGUGCCAGCAGCCGCGGUAAUACGGAGGGGGCUAGCGUUGUUCGGAAUUACUGGGCGUAAAGCGCACGUAGGCGGACGAGAAAGUCAGAGGUGAAAUCCCAGGGCUCAACCGUGGAACUGCCUUUGAAACUUCUUGUCUUGAGGUCGAGAGAGGUGAGUGGAAUUCCGAGUGUAGAGGUGAAAUUCGUAGAUAUUCGGAGGAACACCAGUGGCGAAGGCGGCUCACUGGCUCGAUACUGACGCUGAGGUGCGAAAGCGUGGGGAGCAAACAGGAUUAGAUACCCGUGUAGUC
rnacentral:rRNA from 1 species